rnacentral:antisense_RNA from 1 species
GUGGGAGCGAGCCUGCUCGCGAAGGCGUCGGAUCAGUCACAUCGAUGUCGGAUGUGACAUAGCAUUCGCGAGCAGGCUCGCUCCCAC